GAUGAACGCUGGCGGCGUGCUUAACACAUGCAAGUCGAACGGAAAGGCUCCUGCUUGCAGGGGUACUCGAGUGGCGAACGGGUGAGUAACACGUGGGUGAUCUGCCCUGCACUUCGGGAUAAGCUUGGGAAACUGGGUCUAAUACCGGAUAGGACCGCAUUUUGGAUGGUGUGGUGGAAAGGUUUUUCGGUGUGGGAUGAGCUCGCGGCCUAUCAGCUUGUUGGUGGGGUAAUGGCCUACCAAGGCGUCGACGGGUAGCCGGCCUGAGAGGGUGUACGGCCACAUUGGGACUGAGAUACGGCCCAGACUCCUACGGGAGGCAGCAGUGGGGAAUAUUGCACAAUGGGCGCAAGCCUGAUGCAGCGACGCCGCGUGGGGGAUGACGGCCUUCGGGUUGUAAACUCCUUUCGCUAGGGACGAAGAGUAAUUGACGGUACCUGGAGAAGAAGCACCGGCUAACUACGUG
rnacentral:rRNA from 1 species